rnacentral:rRNA from 1 species
GACGAACGCUGGCGGCGUGCUUAACACAUGCAAGUCGAACGGAAAGGCCCUGCUUGUGUGGGGUGCUCGAGUGGCGAACGGGUGAGUAACACGUGAGUAACCUGCCCUUGACUUUGGGAUAACUUCAGGAAACUGGGGCUAAUACCGGAUAGGAGCUCCUGCUGCAUGGUGGGGGUUGGAAAGUUUCGGCGGGUGGGGAUGGACUCGCGGCUUAUCAGCUUGUUGGUGGGGUAGUGGCUUACCAAGGCUUUGACGGGUAGCCGGCCUGAGAGGGUGACCGGACACAUUGGCACUGAGACAGGGCAGACACCCAUACGGGAGGGCGGAGGGGGGAAUAUCGCACAAGGGGCGGACGUCAGAUGGCGAAGCGCCGUGUGCGGGAUGACGGCUUUCGGGUUGUACACCGCUUUCGACUGUGAAGACGCGUGAGUGAGGGUAAUGGGUAAAGAAGCACCGGCUAAUUACGU